AGCAGUGUCCCCGGGAGGCCUAGGCUCUGGUUCUCCUUCGUCGCCUGGCCUGCCUGUAGUCCCUUUUCUUUUAUCACUAUUUGUUGUCGUCCCGGUGAGUAUAGAGAACUAACUCAUGCUGUCAUCCUGAAAGUCCCGAGAAGAGUCCUCAUGAAUGGGCCAGUGGCGCAAUGGAUAACGCGUCUGACUACGGAUCAGAAGAUUGUAGGUUCGACUCCUGCCUGGCUCGAGCUUUUGGAGCUGACUUUAAGCUAGGUCAGCAAUUGGCCCCUGAUGUUACUGUUGUGAACUUCCUGGAAACUGAACCUCCCCCAUCACACAUUCUCCCACCCCCAUACCCCCCUUCAAGCCGGCCAACUCAUCAAGACUUUGUGUACAGUUCAAAAGUUUCCGCAUUUACUUUACCUAAGUGGGCCACUUCUUGGUGUGAUGUGACCAGCUGCCUCAAGGUCCUGCCUCAGUGAUGGACUAGACCCUGGAAUUCUUAAGUCAAAUAAACCCUUUCUUCUCAAAGUU